CGUAGGCGGGAUGGCAAGUCGGUCGUGAAAUCCUUCGGCUCAACCGAAGAACGUCGGCCGAUACUGCCGUUCUUGAGGGAUGCAGAGGAGAUUGGAAUUCCCGGUGUAGCGGUGAAAUGUGUAGAGAUCGGGAGGAACACCGGUGGCGAAGGCGGGUCUCUGGGCAUCUCCUGACGCUGAGGCGCGAAAGCGUGGGGAGCAAACA
rnacentral:rRNA from 1 species